rnacentral:rRNA from 1 species
UACGUAGGGUGCAAGCGUUGUCCGGAAUUAUUUGGGCGUAAAGAGCUCGUAGGCGGUCUGUCGCGUCGGCUGUGAAAACUCGGGGCUCAACUCCGAGCUUGCAGUCGAUACGGGCAGGCUAGAGUUCGGCAGGGGAGACUGGAAUUCCUGGUGUAGCGGUGAAAUGCGCAGAUAUCGGGAGGAACACCGGUGGCGAAGGCGGCGAUCUGGGUCGAUACUGACGCUGAGGUGCGAAAGCGUGGGGAGCAAACAGGG